GCAGAAGAGACUGCCGUGUUGGUGGUGGCACUCAGACCUCCGGCAGGAUCUUGUUCAGGGACAAGGAAGGAAAGAAGGAUACAAAGGAGGAGAAAGCAAGCCUUGGAUGCAGCCGGAAAGAUUCAGCCCAAGGAAGGUCGUAUUUCCAGAGAGUCCAACCGACAUGGAGAACUCCUCAUUUUCCUGCUGAGGGAUGAAGAACACCUGAAGAAACACUGAGUAACAGGUUCCAGAAGAACAAAGGUGCAUAAAUAUGUGAAUGAAAACGACUUGGGUGGAAUUCAUUGUAGCAUCGUCCACCUUGGGAAGAACCAAUCCUCCAGUCACUCAAGGACUUUUGAAUGGGAGCUUGGUGGUCCUUCUGAGAGCCAUCUGAAUUACUAGCUGGUUUCUGGUACAAUGUUUUGGAAUGUCAUCAAGUAACUAUCCAUUAAAAAGCCCUGAAAAGUGAUUCCAGAUUUUAGUGGAGAAGGUUGGGAUAUGCAUGUUUUGUAGUGCAUCAACUUCUCUAGGUUGUUCUUGUGGACUAUGCAACAUUGGGAACCAUAAUUGCAAGAAAAAUUACUGGGAUAUGCAAAAAUGGUCGUCUCAAAAUCUUAUUACAACAUGGAUUCCUAUCACAGGCAGCUUUGAAAAUGAAAGAAACCUAGCCAAGAAGUUGGGUCAUAUAUGACAGCAUCCAAAACUUGAAAUUAAAAAAAAUCUAAAGAACAAUUCCAAUUGUUAGUGGAGAAGGUUGGGAUGUGCAUGAUUUGUUGUGCACCAACAUUUCCAAGUGAUUUUUGUGGAGUAUGCAACGUUGGGAGCUGUGAUUGUGAGGAAAAUUGUCUUCCAGACACAUUGGCUCAUGAUAAUAGGGAUUCCUAUCCCAUGCGCUUUGAAAAAGAAAGAAACUUAGCCCAGAAGUUGACUUCUAUCCAACAGUAUUCGGAGUUUUAAACCAAAAGGUGGUUCCAAUGUUGGGAUAUGCAUGAUUUGUAGUGCACCAGCAUUUCCAAGUGAAUUUUUGUGGACUAUGUUUCAUUGGGAGCUGUGAUUACGAGGAACAUUGUCUUCCCAAUGAACACAUUAAUUGUCUUAUGAUAACAGGGAUUUCUUUCCCAUGUGCUUCUGAAAAAGAUAGACCUAAUCCAGAAGUUGGCUUCUAUCUGCUAUUAUUCCAAUGAGGCCCAGACUGGGAGGCACCUCCAUCCCGGCAUUUUUGUCAGCCAGGGAAUACGAGACUUAUGGGAUCCUGAAUGCCACACGGGACACUGCGGCCCCACAAACCCAAGAGUCCCUGUCAUCAGCCGUGGCCUUAGUGGUGGUGCUGGCUCUCAUCCUCUCCUUGGUCACCACUUCCCUGGUGACCUACUGCUUUCACAAAUGGAAACUGAGGAGCAAAAGGCUCCAGAAAGCCCACGAGGAGUACCAGAGGGACCAUGAAAGCAGUGGGCUCCAGAGCAAGCCCAGGCUCGUUUCCUAAGGACCUAACACAUAAAAACAAACAAAAAACUGGGAAGAACAAUCCCAUCGAGCUGAGCUUGCAGAUAAUAUUGACUGAGAAAAGGGUGAGGAUAUGGGGACUUGGAAUGUACGAAGGGGCCACAAUAAUGGUUGCUUGAUCCGAUCGACACCUGUCAUUCUGUGGUGUGCCUCUCUCUUACGUUAGAUGUAUUUAUUCAUAACGAUGUUGCAUUUGGUGUCCUGCCGGGAUCCCAGGGUCGCAAUACUCCCAACGAGCCGCUUCAUAAUGUGCAAUAGGAUCACUCUGGUUUGAGAAUGGCAGCUUUUCCUUUAGCUCAGAUGAGUCUCUUGGCAAUAAAAGGGCUCAAAUGUCAGCUAUUGCAAAAAAAAAAAGAAAGAAA